rnacentral:rRNA from 1 species
GUAGGUGGCAAGCGUUGUCCGGAAUUAUUGGGCGUAAAGCGCGCGCAGGCGGUCCUUUAAGUCUGAUGUGAAAGCCCACGGCUCAACCGUGGAGGGUCAUUGGAAACUGGGGGACUUGAGUACAGAAGAGGAAAGCGGGAUUCCAAGUGUAGCGGUGAAAUGCGUAGAGAUUGGAGGAACACCAGUGGCGAAGGCGGCUUUCUGGUCUGUAACUGACGCUGAGGCGCGAAAGCGUGGGGAGCAAACAGGGAUUAGAUACCCUGGUAGUCCACGCCGUAAACGAUGAGUGCUAAGUGUUAGGGGGGUUUCCGCCCCCUUAGUGCUGCAGCUAACGCAUUAAGCACUCCGCCUGGGGAGUACGGCCGCAAGGCUG